rnacentral:rRNA from 1 species
GACGAACGCUGGCGGCGUGCUUAACACAUGCAAGUCGAACGGAAAGGCCUGCUUUCCCUUGUGGAUUGCGGGUACUCGAGUGGCGAACGGGUGAGUAACACGUGAGUGAUCUGCCCCCAACUUGGGUAUAAGCCUGGGAAACUGGGUCUAAUUCCCGAUAGGACUGCAGGGUGGUGCCUGUGGUGGAAAACGAUUUUCUAGUGGUUGGGGAUGAGCUCGCGGCCUAUCAGCUUGUUGGUGGGGUAAUGGCCUACCAAGGCGGCGACGGGUAGCCGGCCUGGGAGGGUGGACGGCCACAUUGGGACUGAGAUACGGCCCAGACUCCUACGGGAGGCAGCAGUGGGGAAUAUGGCACGAUGGGCGGAAGCCUGAUGCAGCGACGCCGCGUGGGGGAUGACGGCCUUCGGGUUGUAAACUCCUUUCGACCGCGAGGAAGCCACCUGGUUGGAAGGGUGGUGACGGUAGUGGUAGAAGAAGCACCGGCUAACUACGUG